UGAUAUAACCUCUUGGUUAUUCGUGCAUCCUGUCAUCAUGACAAUGUAAAGAAGUGAUAUAGAGGAAUGAUGCUUAGAUGGUCUGACACAAAUCAGAUUUGCGCUUCCUGCCCAUUGUAAUUAUGCCAUAAAUCGUUCUUUUGAUGAAUUGUAUUCAAAGCACUUACAAAAUUGUGAUACGACGUCGCACGUAUUAUCAUCAACAAUACGAUCUUGAACGUAGAAAAAAAACAAAGAAAAGUUGCGCUUUCCCAUCUGCAUAUUAUAACUAAUUCUUUUCAUUAACAAUGGAAAAGCGAAAUUCUAUUUAUCUACUCCGCUUUUGUUAUUCUCCAGAGUGUUUGUAAGUUAAAUAUGUCUCAGUUUAUUCAAUUAUCAUUUUUUUAAUUAACACUCCAUAAGCUGAUUCGCAAUCAGAAUGAAAAAAUCUGAUAGUAAAUUUCGUUUAAAAGCUAAGGAAAAAUUCUCAUGCCUAUUAAGAGGUCUCGAAUUUCAAAAUUAUUAACAAUUUAAAAUAAACAUUUUUUUCACGAUUAAAUUACGUAUCGAAAAUAAUCUAGAUAUGAUUUCAGUAAUUUAGAAAAAGGAAGUUUUGCACGUAAGCUGCACUCUUUAAAUAAUUGUUCACCUAAUUUUUAUACUAUCACAUUUUUUUUGUUAUAUUUGAUACAGGUUUAUUAUAAUCAAAAUGUUAAUUUGUAUUUUAGCCAUCCUGGCUAAAAGGUAUCUUCCUCAGUUAGAUAAUCAAAUAAUGAUCAUUUAUAAAUCUUCUGACGUUAAACUCAGCUAGGAACACUAUCAAGACAGAGAGGGUUAUACACAAGGAAUUCCAAAGAUUUGUGGUUAUGUCAAGGAAGACUUAAAUAUGGUUCUAUCACAAAUAUUAUACUCUGAAUGAUAAUUCUAAAGAGGAUAAUAUAGAAAUGGACAACAGCAAUAGCAGACUGAAGCGGCAAACAGAGACUUACGAGUAUACACCGACGAAAACAAGAUGCCCAUUACUACUGGUUGCUGAUUAUCGAUUCUACCAGGAAAUGGACAUUAGCAGUACAAAAACUAAUUAUUUGGUACAUAUAAAAGUAAUGCAGCUAUUGUAUCUUAAUUUAUACUUAUAUGUAUAAUAAUUAAAUUUUUAAUUUAUGUUUACAAAUAAGUUUGAUUAAUAGAGUACAUAAGAUUUACAAUGACACUUUAUGGUAAGAACAUCAAGAAAAGGAUCAUUUCAAGGAGAUGAGUUUUGUCAUCAAAAAGAUCAUUAUUAACAGCAAACCUACACGAGUACAGGGUGAUGAAACGCAUUUCAAUAUGGUUUUAUACAUAUUUUUAGAAAUAUAUUUUUGUAUUAUGUUAAUAGUAUUUAAGGCAAUUAGUGUAAUAUUGCAGAUACCAACGUAUUUAUUAAUAGGAUAUUUUAAAAACAGACAAUUAUUAUCGUCAUUACAUUUUCGACACAUAACGAUAACACAUAAUGUUACACGCUAUGAUUUUGACUGUAUUUCAAAGACACUAAUUGUUUUUCUAUGCUAUUAGUGAUUUUCCAAUCUACAUCCUGAUAAAAUAGAGUAUCAAAAUCUGGAUGGUUCAUCAUUGCUUUUAAUGCUUUUUUUGCAUCAUUCCUGCAGUUAAAAUAUUAAUAUUCAUUAUAACGUUCCCUCUAUUAUUAAAGUAAAAAUUCUUAUGAAAUACAUUGUGAAAUUCUUGUAAAAAUUCUUAGUCUUAAAUUUUAAAUAAAAUUUUAACGAUGUUUUAAUAUGUGCGUAAUAAAAUCCGAAAUUUUAGAUUUGUAUAACUUAUAAUACUUCUAAAUCUUUAAAAAAACAUGUAAAUAAUUUCUAAAAAAUCACAGGAAAAAGUUGUGUAAGUGACAUUAUUCUUAAUUAUAUAUUCUUGAUGCAGAUCAAAA